rnacentral:rRNA from 1 species
AACGAACGCUGGCGGCAGGCCUAACACAUGCAAGUCGAGCGAGCAUUUCGGUGCUAGCGGCGGAUGGGUGAGUAACGCGUGGGAACGUGCCCUUUUCUGCGGAAUAGUCCUGGGAAACUGGGGGUAAUACCGCAUACGCCCUUUUGGGGAAAGAUUUAUCGGAGAAGGAUCGGCCCGCGUUGGAUUAGGUAGUUGGUAGGGUAAUGGCCCACCAAGCCGACGAUCCAUAGCUGGUUUGAGAGGAAGAUCAGCCACACUGAGACUGGGACACGGCCCGGACUCCUACGCGAGGCAGGAAUGGGGGAUCUUGGAAAAUGGGGGCAGCCAUGAUGGAGUCAUGCCGCGUAAGUGAUGAAGGUCUUAGAGUUGAAAAGCUCUUUCAGCUGGGAAGGUCAUGACGGUACCAAAAGAAGAAGCCCCGGCUAACUCCGUG